CCUCGAUGUGGGGACCACACGCCACCGCCGCUGCCGCGCCUCUGGAAAGAGGCCUCUCCAAACUCCCGUCGGCUGGGAUUCUUGGAGUAGUUUUGCUUUUGCAGCAAGUGGGGAUGGAUUUAUCCUCAGCCACCCACAUCCUAAAUCCGAUAAGAUCAACAACAGACCUUUGGAGAAAGCACAGGCUCUGCUCUCACCAGCUCUGAAGUCACCACCUCCCAAGUCUCCAAGGGAAGUUAGCACUGUGACCGCAGAUUCACCGCGUGAUGCCAGGACUCAGCAGGGUGGCCCUUACCAGAUGCUGCCCCUUUUCUUGAUUUUCAACAUCUCAGCCUCCAGAACUCCUUUACAGGUGCAAGUCUCUCGGUCCUUCUUUUCAAU